UGAUCAUGCGAACCACUUAUUAGAAUAUCCAACAUUAACAGCGGGGACGCUAGGGAAGGUUGGAAUCUGAGUUCUUGGUUGGUAAUUUUGGCAGUUUACUUCCGUCAUUAUCUAUAACCUAUAUGCAUUGUUCCUUAUGCAAGAGAUUAACACUUGGAACCCUGCCAUAGCAAUGCCAUUCAUGCUUUACUAUGUUUCUGCCUAUUUGAUAUGCUUGUCUUGGAGCAACUGCGAAGGUGAUUUGAACCUGACAUUUGGUCAUUCUUAAUGCCAGUUUACUUUAUGUGGAAAACCUUGGCAUUACCCUACUCUAAAUCUGAAUGUCUGAAAUUCGUAUCUCAUGAAAAGCAACAUAUAGUUGGUUUUAAUCUGAUAUCUGGUAAAUAUUGGCUUAUUCAUUUGGCAGCUCAAGUUUUUUGUUAUUUGAAACCAGCUGACUUGGUCUUAAAUGUGAUAUCUAAACACAGAUUAAGGACAAUGGAGCAGGAGGAUUAGCAUUUCACUUGAUGGCUGAACCUAAAAUGACAGGCAUGUCGACCACGACUAGUGCACGCAAGAGAAGGACCUGCAGCGAGCCAAAUGCAGUUUUAAUGAAGCAGUCAUCAUUAGAAGAUAGUCGCCAAAGCGACCCUGUGCAACAUUAUGAUGUGUAAUGAAGAAGUCCUUAGUAGAAGAUAGAGCGCAAAAAAGGUUCCGGG